rnacentral:lncRNA from 1 species
AUGUCGAGGAUUCUUGGAUCUUAAACAAAUAUCGCAAGAGAGGACAAAAUCCUUGACAUUCUUCCACAUUUGACGCCACCAAAAAUCUCAAGAAAUAAGUUCCAAGGUCUUAUUGAAUCCAAAAUAUCUUGCAGCUGGAAAGUCGUGUUGAGAUUGGAGAACUCGGAGUCAUGCUAGUCCCUUUGGAAUAUACAACCACUCCUCAAA